AUCGACUAAACAGCGUCAUAGCGUAUAUUAAGUUGUUGCAGUUAAAAAGCUCGUAGUUGAACCUUGGGUCUGGCUGGCCGGUCCGCCUCACCGCGAGUACUGGUCCGGCUGGACCUUUCCUUCUGGGGAACCUCAUGGCCUUCACUGGCUGUGGGGGGAACCAGGACUUUUACUGUGAAAAAAUUAGAGUGUUCAAAGCAGGCCUUUGCUCGAAUACAUUAGCAUGGAAUAAUAGAAUAGGACGUGCGGUUCUAUUUUGUUGGUUUCUAGGACCGCCGUAAUGAUUAAUAGGGAUAGUCGGGGGCGUCAGUAUUCAGCUGUCAGAGGUGAAAUUCUUGGAUUUGCUGAAGACUAACUACUGCGAAAGCAUUCGCCAAGGAUGUUUUCAUUAAUCAGGGAACGAAAGUUAGGGGAUCGAAGACGAUCAGAUACCGUCGUAGUCUUAACCAUAAACUAUGCCGACUAGGGAUCGGA
rnacentral:rRNA from 1 species